GAGCAGGCACGUCGAUCAGAAAGUCAGAAGUCCUCUCGCAUACAUUUACAACAAACCCUGCAGUGUGGACUAAAAAUGGAGCGGUUUACACUGCUGUUUUCUCAGGCUACCUCUUCUCUCCUCUGGUUCUCCCAUUUCCUCUCCGUCUCUGAUGCACCCUCUAUCACCAGGAGUCAGCAGCAGGGUCGGAUUCCGCUCCUGCAGACAUAGUGUCCUCCGGCGACCCCGAGUUUUGCUGAGUUUCCCCUGGCUGGUAGGGUGUUUCAUCGAGAGUGAAGACUCACAGUCUUCAAGAGGAAGAUUUCCAGCUAAACCCUGGAGAAGCACUUUCCACUUGUCAGUGUCUUUCAUCACCCUCCCAGCUCUCAGAGGUGGUGCUGAUCUCCCCCCUGUCAUCCAAGAGCAGCGAGAAGGAAAGUGGUCUCUUGAGAUUGCACUCCAAAUGUACCCCUGCAUUUUCUGUUUCAUUGACAAUGUUCUCUCACACAUUUUUGGGAUGAGAGAACCACAAGUCAAGGCAGAGGCCUUUCCCAAGGGGCAGGACUCUUAGACAGACAUAAUUCUAGCAAACUCACUUCUUUCAAAGCAAGUGACAACACAUUUGAAUAAAAAUAUUUGACCCAUUUAAAGUAAAUCCUAUUUACUUAGCUUGCAUGAAUAGAGUUGCUAAUGUUAGCAGGAGGAAGAUGAGCAGAAUGUGGCACUACUACCUUCACUCUGCAUUUGAAUUUUCUGUAUCAUCACAGGCAUUUUUCACUUAGAAUUUGACAGACCUUUUCUAAAAGAACUACUUUUUUUUUUUUUCCCCCCAAAAAAACCCGGAAACCCCAUAGGUGAGAGGCUGGCAGCAGUGACCAGGGUGGAACCAUUGCCCCUGUAACACAGUUAGGAGCACGCAGUGGGAUCUGCAGGAUCCACGUCACAAACAUACAGGAAUGCACAGGCUCUGGACUCGAGCUCUGGUUGUCAGACCAGCGCAGCAGCCAUGCUGUUGGUGCUCGGGGUCAGCUGUCAACACGCAUUUGAGUCCCUGGUUGUAUGCAACACCGUUUGACCUUCAUCUCUAGGAAACUGUGUUUGUGUACCUGGCACUCUUUCUCUCUUGGGGCCAGCUCUUAACUCGAAGAUUCGUAACUUGCCAUUUCUUUUUUCAGGCUCAGUCUUUCUGUGGCCCUCAAAAAUGGGAAAGGCAACGCCUUUUUAAUUUUGUUGCCAUUAAGAUUCCCUGAGCCAACCCAUCUUGUUUAGGACUUCAGCCAGGGUCUGCUCAAGAACCUGGGGCAAUGUCCCGGAUCAGACAUAGCACUGCUGGAAGUGAAACAGGAGCUAUGGAUGUGAUCUGCUCAGGAUACUGUGUCGGUGCUAUCCCUUGGCUCGGCUACUGCCAGCCAGAUUUGCAGAACCGAUAGGAAAGUUAGCAGAGCAAGGCAACCAGGGCUGGGUUAUUUUUAUUACACUCCAUUUCCUCGCAGCUGGCCAAAAUAGUCAGGACCUUCCAAAUCUGGCCAGCUCGAAACGCAAACAAAAGCUGAACAUGAGGCUGGGGCAGUGUCUUCUGGUUAGUAACCCAUCCUCUUCAUCAUGCCCCAUUUCAGCAGCAAGAACCUAUGGCCCAAUGUACACACUCAAACCAGAAGUGCCAAGCAAGAAGAUCUCAAGGGGAGUUAACAUCUCCAGAACCCCAAGGAAGACAUCAUGUGGAGCAGUGGGGUCAUGCACAGCCAGGAAGCCCCCAGGACAGCGGGGGCUGCAACCAGGGCCCCAUCGGGUCCUGCAGACCAGGAGGACUGUUGGGAGCUGCUGAGGUGAGCCCAGCCUUCACCCCUGGGCAGUCCUUGGGGGUCCUGGUCUCCUGCUAUGUCUCUUUUGUUGAUCUCCCCACAGAGAGUCCUGAGCCAGGGACAGCAACGCGCCCAGCCCCUGCAAGCUCAGCCUUUGUAAGGAGAGAGAUGGUCUUGUUCAAGGAGCUGUUACUGGUACCAGUAAGCUCACUGCAGUGGCUGCUCCCUGCCUGCUUACCCUGCCAUCUGCUCAAGAAAAACACCACUGAAACUAGUCUUGGGCCAUUAACUUUGCCUGAUGCUCCAACACUGGGAUUCGGGCUUUCUGUUAAAGGCGGUUUUCCAAAGGGGUAGAUAAUUGCUCUUCAUUCUUGAAAUUAAAAUAAAUAAAUAUAUCUUUCUUGUUAUAUAUAAUUUUCUUGCAUAAUUUAGAAUGUGUUUUCCCUCUUCUCCACUGCCUGGGAGCGUGGGGCAGGGACCCAGCACAGCAUCUGGGAGGCUGCUGCAGUCCCCUGGCUGAGAUGGACACCCUCAUCAGCUCAGGUGCUGCUGGAGCUGGAGGGAGGCACAGCUGCCCAUCCAUCACAGCGAAGAAAUGCCUAAAGCAGCAUGUGCUUAAGGUAACCACCUCCCAGAUGGUCCUUUACUCAGGACAUCCCAAUAUUUUGCUAGUUCUGGAGCAGCGCUUUGGGCUUAGGUUUACCCUGAGAAGCCAAAGAAAUGUUUACCAUUUUCUGUAACAGAAGCGGAGUUUAAAUGAAUUACUGUAAUGAUAUCUAGGGACUGUGUUUCUGAGAUUUUACCACAUGUAAACACAAUCAUAAGCAUAAUCAAUGUCAAUGACUUCCAUUUAAUUCCCAGACAAAGUUUGCUUUUAAAUACCACACCAGAUUUGACAUGGCCAAUGAUAAAUGGAAUGCAAUUAGUUCUACUAUUUGCUUUGAUGAUAUGCUAAAUUAUUUCUUACAACAGACCAUUUAUUAUCCAAAGCUAAUGGUUAUACUCUUGCAUUUAACAAGUCUAAUAUAUCAUAAACCAUGGCAAACUGAUAAGUUUCAAAUUGAGAUACUGAAGUCUAGAAAAAAAGUCAUUCAUUGAAUUAGUUUCAUCUAAUAAAUCCUUGUCAAUGCCUGAGUCAUC